rnacentral:rRNA from 1 species
AUUGAACGCUGGCGGCAGGCUUAACACAUGCAAGUCGAGCGGGCGAGGUUGCUUCGGUAACUGAGCUAGCGGCGGACGGGUGAGUAAUGCUUAGGAAUCUGCCUAUUAGUGGGGGACAACAUCUCGAAGGGGAUGCUAAUACCGCAUACGUCCUACGGGAGAAAGCAGGGGACCUUCGGGCCUUGCGCUAAUAGAUGAGCCUAAGUCGGAUUAGCUAGUUGGUGGGGUAAAGGCCUACCAAGGCGACGAUCUGUAGCGGGUCUGAGAGGAUGAUCCGCCACACUGGGACUGAGACACGGCCCAGACUCCUACGGGAGGCAGCAGUGGGGAAUAUUGGACAAUGGGGGGAACCCUGAUCCAGCCAUGCCGCGUGUGUGAGGAAGGCCUUUUGGUUGUAAAGCACUUUAAGCGAGGAGGAGGCUACCGAGAUUAAUACUCUUGGAUAGAGGACGUUACUCGCAGAAUAAGCACCGGCUAACUCUGUGCCAGCCGCCGCGGUAAGAC